CUCUGCAUCAGCUAAUCAAUAUCAGGUUUUUGAUACCUUUUCACUCUCACCUGCAUGUUAGGGCUUGUAAUUUAUAAACCACCUGCUUGAUUUUUAGGGUUUUCUUUUAUGCUCUUGAUUCGAUUAUGAGAAGCCUUCAAAGAAACAUGUUCUUCUAUGUUUGGAGUCUGAUUUGUACUUGUUCAUGCAGUUUAUGAGUCACCCAGUUACGGACCUGUUCAAUGAAGAAUUCUAAAAGGUGAGAAACGAGAUGCUGACGUGAAUGCAAUUUAUUGUAUGAACCAAAAGACCAAGGGAUGGUGGAUAAGGCAACAACAUCGUGAAACGUCACAUCCCUUCUGUCCCGUAGAAGAUUUUCCUACCAGGUUUUGUCCAUGAGAUAUGGUCUGAUCGAGUUAGAUCUCUACCUAGAAAUCCAUGGUAUAACUCGGCUUUUGAAGGUUCGGCUUUCGUGAGACUCUUCCUUACUGCAAAUCAUGAUAACCGAAACUUCUAUCCAUGUGAGUGGAAAGGCACAUGUAUAUUUCAAUGGGUUUCUAUACCAAAUUGCCAGUUCCGAUACAGCCAGUUGGCAACUAUUAUGGCCCGUGUUAUUAAGAGGUUGUUCACUACAUGAUGUAGAGAUUCAAGAGUUGGGUUUUCUAAGUGAAAUGAUGGUGGGUCUGCAAUUAAAUGGAAAUAGGGAUAAGUGGGAUUGGGAACCUGAAGCAUCUGGGUCGUUUUCAAUCAGCUCGUGCAGGAAAUUGUUGUGCGUUGGAGCGGUCCCCUAUUAUCCUUUUGAGUGGGUAAAAUGGGUCCCUAAAAAGACAAAUAUAUUUGGGUGGCGAGCGGAACAAAACCGGUUGCCUACGCUAGCGGAACUGCAGAAAAGAAACAUAUACCAGGGUUAUAUUAUGUGCAGGUUGUGCAGCGAGUUUGAAGAAACCUCAGAGCAGUUGCUCACUUCCUGUUAAUGAAUCUAUCUUUUUCUAAUAAUUUUGCUGUAUUUGUGGCUAACAUUUGAUUGGUUUUAGAUCUUUAUGGGAAAUAAUGCUGAAGAGGCACUGCAGAAAUUAAAUGGCACCACGAUUGGCAAGCAGAUUGUGCAGCUUUAUUGGGGACGUACCCCAGCAAAUAAACAGAGAAAAUGGAGUGCACGUCUUUGAUGGGUACGAAUAUGCGAUGACACCAGUCAGCACCUAUCGAGGAGUUGGUUGUGCUGCAAAUCUACGAAUUGUAGAGUGCUGAAGGUAUAAGUUAUUUUUAGAGCUUGAACUUCCUUUCAUACUUCCUUUUGCUGGUGGCUGGAAUAGAUUCCUAUGCACGUGUUGGGUUUAUUUUUACUCUGCAUUUUGUUCAUCCAUCAUGUUUCACUUGAGCAUGAUUUCAUGGUCAUUAUAUAUCUGUGUUAUUUCUCUCUUUUGACUGCUAUAGAAAUUGCAAUCAUAUGAUAUUUAUUAUUUCAUAUAUGAAUGUUCAAAUGGUAUGCUACUAUAUGUCAACUCCAAUGGAGGAAGAUAGAUAAUUACAUAUCAACUAAAGACGUGUGGCAACCACAAGCUUAUUUGGAAUCCCUACCCAUUGGUCACUCCUGGAUACCGCGUUUCGAUUGAAGUUCUCUUGGCUAUGUGGCAAUUACUCGUAGCGAGCACAACACCAGCUAGCCCGGCGCAACACCGUAGCGAGUGCACCCGCAAUUGAGGACAAGAAAAGGCAAUAUAUCGGCGCAGCGAGUGCAGCCGCAACGCCGUAGCCAGCGCAACCGAAGCGAACGCAGCCGCAUGCACUUGCUUAUUUGGAGAAAUUAUGCCCCACCAAACCGUAUAUAAGAGAGCUUAAUCAUCUGUGUGAUAGGGACAACUAGCUGUGGAAUCAUCACUCAUAUGUUCUGAAUCUGAAUUGAAUUAUCUGAUAGAAAGUCAUGUUAAGGCCGAAGUUCUUGAAAGAGUAGAAUGCAUCAGAAGGGAUUAUAACGAGCUUGAUGAGGAUAAUGCAUUUGGUGACUUGUGGUUUUCAUGUGGGGUUCGACCUAAUUGGUUUACAAAUCAUAUCGUUUUUGUUUAUUUUGAUUUGAGUUUUUACAUGACUGUUUGCUCAAAGAAGCAUAUUUAUAUGUUAAUCAUUUGCUAAAUUCAAUUAAAAUGACAAAAACAAGUAUUCUCGGGUCAAUUG